rnacentral:rRNA from 1 species
GCGUUAAUCGGAAUCACUGGCGUAAAGCGCACGUAGGCGGCUUGGUAAGUCAGGGGUGAAAUCCCACAGGCCAACUGUGGAACUGCCUUUGAUACUGCCAGGCUUGAGUACCGGAGAGGGUGGCGGAAUUGCAGGUGUAGGAGUGAAAUCCGUAGAUAUCUGGAGGAACACCGGUGGCGAAGGCGGCCACCUGGACGGUAACUGACGCUGAGGUGCGAAAGCGUGGGUAGCAAACAGGAUUAGAUACCCUGGUAGUCCACGCUGUAAACGAUGGGUGCUGGGUGCUGGGAUGUAUGUCUCGGUGCCGUAGCUAACGCGAUAAGCACCCCGCCUGGGGAGUACGGUCGCAAGGCUGAAACUCAAAGAAAUUGACGGGGGCCCGCACAAGCGGUGGAGUAUGUGGUUUAAUUCGAUGCAACGCGAAGAACCUUACCCAGGCUUGACAUCUAGGGAACCCUUCGGAAAUGAAGGGGUGCCCUUCGGGGAGCCCUAAGACAGGUGCUGCAUGGCUGUUGUCAGCUCGUGCCGUGAGGUGUUGGGUUAAGUCCCGCAACGAGCGCAACCCCUAUCUUCAGUUGCCAGCAGGUAAGGCUGGGCACUCUGGAGAGACCGCCCCGGUCAACGGGGAGGAAGGUGGGGACGACGUCAAGUCAUCAUGGCCCUUACGCCUGGGGCUACACACGUACUACAAUGGCGCGCACAAAGGGUAGCGAGACCGCGAGGUGGAGCCAAUCCCAAAAAACGCGUCCCAGUCCGGAUUGGAGUCUGCAACUCGACUCCAUGAAGUCGGAAUCGCUAGUAAUUCGAGAUCAGCAUGCUCGGGUGAAUGCGUUCCCGGGCCUUGUACACACCGCCCGUCACACCACGAAAGUCGGUUUUACCCGAAGCCGGUGAGCUAACUCGCAAGAGAAGCAGCCGUCUACGGUAGGGCCGAUGAUUGGGGUGAAGUCGUAACAAGAUAG